CUUGACACUCACUUGGCAAGGCCUUCCCUCUGCCAGGGCUGCCUGCAGGGCCUCUGAACACAGGGCUCUCACCCAAACAAGCAGCCAGAUGGGUCCCCAGUGGCUUGUGAGCCGGCUCCCUGCACAGGAGGAAUGAAGAUGUUUAUAUGUGACGAGACUGAAGCUCGACUUGUCAUCUCUAAGUGCACGUAGCUGUGGAUUCCUAGAACUGGGCAGCCCUGCUCUACAGUGCGACAACAUGAAGGCCAGCAGUCAUUGGACAACAGGGAGAAAGGAGUUCAGCACCUGUGAAGCAAAGCCAAGAAGUGGCACCUGCAGGCUGGCAGAGCUAUCGCUGGUCCUGAAGCUGAGAGACAGGUGUGUGUUAUCCCUUCUGCAGCCAGACACCCAGCUGUCCUGGUUUCUUUCCUGUUGCAGUGAUGAAAUACCCUGCCAGAAGCAACUUCAAGGAAGAAGUGGUUGCUCCAGUUCCAGGGUACACUCCUUCACAGCAGCGAGAAGUCAAGGCAGCAGGAAUCUGAAGCAGCUAGUCACAUGUGUAGUUGAGAGCCUAGAGAGAAUGAUUGCCUGCCGGACUGGUGAGCUCCAGGUUUAGUGAGAGACUCUGUCUCAAAAAUUAAGAUGGAGAUAGAUGCAGGAAAACCCUCAUAUUGACAUCUGAUAUCCACAUGCACCUGUAUACACACUCAUGAAUACACACACACACACACACACACACACACCCCUUAUGGACUAACCAUCUAUAAACAAUCUUUUCUUAUUGCUAUUCCCUAAAAAGGUCCCCAUCACACCAUUCUCAACAUAUCUGCAGUGUAUCAGGAAUUAUACCUCACCUACACAUUAUCUUCAGUACAUAGGGGAGUGUGCAAAACUUAUGCUAGCAGAGUUAUAUGUAUAGGAAAGUAUAUAAAAGCUGUAUACUACCCAGGUCUUAGGGGGAUUUCGGUUUCCUCGGUAGUCUUGGACCCAACACCACACAGGUCCUACAGAAUAUCUGUACAUGAAUCACAAAGCCAUAGCCAGACACAGUAAUGCCACAGCACUCAUUGAUGUACACAGUCACUCUAGAAUUUUCCCUGUGCCCUUAUAAACCCAUUCCAUCCAUCGAUCCUACCGCACUUUGGAUGAAUGCUCUCAAAGGUAGGCAUGACUUCUUUCACUCAGUACGUGUGUAUAGGGAAUUAAUCAUCCAUGCUCAUUCCUUCUAAGGUUCAAUUUCUCUCUCUCUUUCCUUCUUUCUCUCUCUCUCUCUCUCUCUCUCUCUCUCUCUCUCUCUCUCUUUCUUUCUUUCUUAAAAGAUUUAUUUAUUUUAUGUAUGUGAGUACACUGCAGCUGUCUUCAGAGACACCAGAAGAGGGCAUCAGAUCCCAUUACAGAUGAUUGUGAGCCACCAUGUGGUUGCUGGGAAUUGAACUCAGGACCUCUGGAAGAGCAGUCAGUGCUCUUAACCGAUGAGCCAUCAUCUCUCCAGCCCUAAGGUUCAAUUUCUAAAGAUACAAGUAUUUGUUUACUCUAUUAUUAUUGAUAGGUACUUAUGUAAUCCCUAGUGUUUUGGCUAUUAAAGCAAUGCUGUGGUCAUUCUAGGGUGUCUUUCAUGGGAUGUAGAGUGUGUAGACCCCAUGAGAGGAAUUUCUGGGUCAUAGCUUUAGAGACAAGUCUGUUCCUUAGAGUGAUGGUAUCCAGCGGCCCACGUCAACAGUGUGUGGGUUCUGGUUUUUCUUUUUCCCCAGCAAAGCUUGGGAUUUAUUCUUUCACUCCAGUGGCUGUGAUGUCACAGUGAAGGCCUUUCCUCUCCCCUUUCCUCUCCUCUCCCUCUCUAUUUCUUUUCCUUAUUUCUUCCCCUUCUCUUCUCCUCCUUUCUCCUUCUCCUUCUGUUUUUAGCUAUCAGCUUUAUUGUGAUACAAUUUGUCUGUCUAAGAAUAUUCAGUUCAUUUGAACAUUCUGACAGAGCUGAGUGAUCAUCACCAGU
rnacentral:lncRNA from 1 species